CUUCACCGACCCCAGCCACAGCGGCUGUUCGGCGUCCCUGCGCCUGCCGUACGUCGCCAGCAGCGCCUGCGCCUC
rnacentral:antisense_RNA from 1 species